GAUGAACGCUGGCGGCGUGCCUAAUACAUGCAAGUCGAGCGAACGGACGAGAAGCUUGCUUCUCUGAUGUUAGCGGCGGACGGGUGAGUAACACGUGGAUAACCUACCUAUAAGACUGGGAUAACUUCGGGAAACCGGAGCUAAUACCGGAUAAUAUUUUGAACCGCAUGGUUCAAAAGUGAAAGACGGUCUUGCUGUCACUUAUAGAUGGAUCCGCGCUGCAUUAGCUAGUUGGUAAGGUAACGGCUUACCAAGGCAACGAUGCAUAGCCGACCUGAGAGGGUGAUCGGCCACACUGGAACUGAGACACGGUCCAGACUCCUACGGGAGGCAGCAGUAGGGAAUCUUCCGCAAUGGGCGAAAGCCUGACGGAGCAACGCCACGUGAGUGAUGAAGGUCUUCGGAUCGUAAAACUCUGUUAUUAGGGAAGAACAUAUGUGUAAGUAACUGUGCACAUCUUGACGGUACCUAAUCAGAAAGCCACGGCUAACUACGUG
rnacentral:rRNA from 1 species